UGACCGACCCUCCUCCUCCUCCUCCUCCCUUCCUCUUGCCCCGCCCCUCCCCUCGGAGAGCGGCUCCGGAAAUGGUCGUGCUGGGCUGCGCUGCGGCUGCGUCGGGCCCCGCUCCCCGGACUGAAGGAGACUGAAGGUAGCAAGGGGAUCCUUAUGCAGCACCACGUGAAAUGAACAAAACUCCACAGCCCUCAGGAGGAACCCCAUCAGCCCCACACCCCUCCCCCUCUCCCGGACUUCCACAGCAGUCAGCAUUUCCUCCUGGCCAGACGGCACCUGUGGUUUUUAACCCAGCGCAAGCUACCCAAAUGAAUACGCCUUCCCAGCCUCGACAGUUUCCAGCAGGGCCUCGUGCUUUACAUCAGCAGGUACUAACCCUUCUCUACUCCCUUCACCGCAUGCUGUGUAUGCAAUCCGGGGCUGG